rnacentral:rRNA from 1 species
GAUGAACGCUGGCGGCGUGCCUAAUACAUGCAAGUCGAGCGAACGGACGAGAAGCUUGCUUCUCUGAUGUUAGCGGCGGACGGGUGAGUAACACGUGGAUAACCUACCUAUAAGACUGGGAUAACUUCGGGAAACCGGAGCUAAUACCGGAUGAUAUUUUGAACCGCAUGGUUCAAAAGUGAAAGACGGUCUUGCUGUCACUUAUAGAUGGAGCCGCGCUGCAUUAGCUAGUUGGUAAGGUAACGGCUUACCAAGGCAACGAUGCAUAGCCGACCUGAGAGGGUGAUCGGCCACACUGGAACUGAGACACGGUCCAGACUCCUACGGGAGGCAGCAGUAGGGAAUCUUCCGCAAUGGGCGAAAGCCUGACGGAGCAACGCCGCGUGAGUGAUGAAGGUCUUCGGAUCGUAAAACUCUGUUAUUAGGGAAGAACAUAUGUGUAAGUAACUGUGCACAUCUUGACGGUACCUAAUCAGAAAGCCACGGCUAACUACGUG